rnacentral:rRNA from 1 species
UACGUAGGGUGCGAGCGUUAAUCGGAAUUACUGGGCGUAAAGCGUGCGCAGGCGGUUCGCUGUGUCCGAUGUGAAAGCCCCGGGCUUAACCUGGGAAUGGCAUUGGAAACUGGCGGGCUUGAGUGUGGCAGAGGGGGGUGGAAUUCCGCGUGUAGCAGUGAAAUGCGUAGAUAUCUGGAGGAACACCGGUGGCGAAGGCGGCUCACUGGCCCGGUACUGACGCUGAGGCGCGAAAGCGUGGGGAGCAAACAGG